rnacentral:rRNA from 1 species
UACAGGGGGUGCAAACGUUGCUCGGAAUCAUUGGGCGUAAAGCGCACGUAGGCGGUUCGUUAUGUCGGAUGUGAAAGCCCUUGGCUUAACCGAGGAAGUGCAUCCGAAACUGGCGAGCUAGAGUACGAAAGAGGAUCGCGGAAUUCCCGGUGUAGAGGUGAAAUUCGUAGAUAUCGGGAGGAACACCGGUGGCGAAGGCGGCGAUCUGGGUCGAUACUGACGCUGAGGUGCGAAGGCUAGGGGAGCAAACAGG